rnacentral:rRNA from 1 species
GCAAAACGCGAAGAACCUUACCAAGUCUUGACAUACCGGGCAAGGCCUAAGAGAUUAGGAGAUAUACGCACGGAUACAGGUGGUGCAUGGUUGUCGUCAGCUCGUGUCGUGAGAUGUUGGGUUAAGUCCCGCAACGAGCGCAACCCUUGAUCUUAGUUGCCAGCAUUCAGUUGGGCACUCUAAGGUGACUGCCGGUGAUAAACCGGAGGAAGGUGGGGAUGACGUCAAAUCAUCAUGCCCCUUAUGACCUGGGCUACACACGUGCUACAAUGGACGGUACAGAGGGUCGCAACCCCGCGAGGGUGAGCAAAUCCCACUAAAACCGUUACUCAGUUCGGAUUGUAGGCUGCAACUCGCCUACAUGAAGCCGGAAUCGCUAGUAAUCGUGGAUCAGCAUGCCACGGUGAAUACGUUCCCGGGUCUGUACACACCG